rnacentral:tRNA from 1 species
AGCGCCUUAGGUUAAAUUAAACUAGAAGCCUUCAAAGCUUCCUAUGGAGAAUACUUUCCAGGCUCUG